CCUGGCUCAGGACGAACGCUGGCGGCGUGCUUAACACAUGCAAGUCGAACGGUGAUCCUGCUUCGGUGGGUGAUCAGUGGCGAACGGGUGAGUAACACGUGGGUAACCUGCCCCUGGCUCUGGGAUAACUCCAAGAAAUUGGGGCUAAUACCGGAUGUGACCGCUGGCCGCAUGGUCUGGUGGUGGAAAGGAUUCGUCCGGCUGGGGAUGGGCCCGCGGCCUAUCAGCUUGUUGGUGGGGUAGUGGCCUACCAAGGCGACGACGGGUAGCCGGCCUGAGAGGGUGACCGGCCACACUGGGACUGAGACACGGCCCAGACUCCUACGGGAGGCAGCAGUGGGGAAUAUUGCGCAAUGGGCGGAAGCCUGACGCAGCGACGCCGCGUGGGGGAUGACGGCCUUCGGGUUGUAAACCUCUUUCAGCAGGGACGAAGCGGAAGUGACGGUGCCUGCAGAAGAAG
rnacentral:rRNA from 1 species